rnacentral:rRNA from 1 species
CAGCCGCCGCGGUAAAACGUAGGGUGCGAGCGUUAAUCGGAAUUACUGGGCGUAAAGCGUGCGCAGGCGGUUGUGUAAGACAGGCGUGAAAUCCCCGGGCUUAACCUGGGAACUGCGCUUGUGACUGCACAGCUAGAGUAUGGCAGAGGGGGGUGGAAUUCCACGUGUAGCAGUGAAAUGCGUAGAGAUCGGAAGGAACAUCUAUGGCGAAGGCGACUAUCUGGGCCAACACUGACACUGAGGCACGAAAGCGUGGGGAGCAAACAGGAUUAGAUACCCCAGUAGUCCCUGUCUCUUAUAC